AACGAACGCUGGCGGCAUGCCUAACACAUGCAAGUCGAACGAGACCUUCGGGUCUAGUGGCGCACGGGUGCGUAACGCGUGGGAACCUGCCCUUAGGUUCGGAAUAACUCCCCGAAAGGGGUGCUAACACCGGAUAAUGUCUUCGGACCAAAGAUUUAUCGCAUUUGGAUGGGCCCGCGUUGGAUUAGCUAGUUGGUAGGGUAAAAGCCUACCAAGGCGACGAUCCAUAGCUGGUCUGAGAGGAUGAUCAGCGACACUGGGAGUGGGACACGGCCCAGACUCCUACGGGAUGCAGCAGUGGGGAAUAUUGGACAAUGGGCGAAGGCCUGAUCCAGCAAUGCCGCGUGAGUGAUGAAGGCCUUAGGGAUGUAAAGCUCUUUUACCCGGGAUGAUAAUGACAGUACCGGGAGAAUAAGCUCCGGCUAACUCCGUG
rnacentral:rRNA from 1 species